GAUGAAGAACGUAGCGAAAUGCGAUAAGUAAUGUGAAUUGCAGAAUUCAGUGAAUCAUCGAAUCUUUGAACGCACCUUGCACUUCUUGGUAGUCCGAGGAGUACGCCUGUUCGAGUGUUAUGAAGCUCUCAAAACGCAAUUGGCUUAAAACCUGAUUGUUGUUUUGGAUUUGAACUUUGCCGUGUUAUAACGGCUGGUUUUAAAAGUAUUAGCUGGUACUAGAACGAAUUGGUUCUACUCAACGUGAUAAUUAUCUGAUCGUUGAGGACAUUCCUUUCACGAGGAAUGGCCAUAGUAAAUUCAAUGGACUACUUCUAAUCUGGCUUUAAUUCUUUAUUGGAUUAACCACUUUUCAAAUCUGACCUCGAAUCAGGUGGGACUACCCGCUGAACUUAAGCAUAUCAAUAAGCGGAGGA
rnacentral:misc_RNA from 1 species